rnacentral:rRNA from 1 species
AAUAUUGCACAAUGGAGGGAAAUCUGAUGCAGCGACGCCGCGUGAGUUAAGAAGGUCUUCUGAUCGUAAAACACUGUCCUUGGUGAAGAUAAUGACGGUAGCCAAGGAGGAAGCCCCGCCUAACUACGUUCCAUCAGCCGCGGUAAUACGUAGGUGUCAAGCGUUGUCCGGAAUUAUUGGGCGUAAAGAGUGCGUAGGCGGUCUAUUAAGUCUCAUUUGAAAGCCCAUGGCUUAACCAUGGAGGGUGAUGGGAAACUGAUAGACUUGAGUAAAGGAGAGGAAGGUGGAAUUCCACGUGUAGCGGUGAAAUGCGUAGAGAUGUGGAGGAACACCAGUGGCGAAGGCGGCCUUCUGGCCUUUGUCUGACGCUGAGGCACGAAAGCGUGGGUAGCAAACA